GACGAACGCUGGCGGCGUGCCUAAUACAUGCAAGUAGGACGCAGUUGCGAACGGGUGAGUAACGCGUAGGUAACUACCUAUUAGAGGGGGAUAACUAUUGGAAACGAUAGGUAAUCCCGCAUACUAGUAGAUGGACCUGCGUUGUAUUAGCUAGUAGGUAGGGUAAUGACCUACCUAGGCAACGAUACAUAGCCGACCUGAGAGGGGGAUCGGCCAGACUGGGACGGAGACACGGCCCAGACUCCUACGGGAGGCGGAAGUAGGGAAUCUUCGUCCAGGGGGGGAACCCGGACCGAGCAACGCAGCGGGAGUGAAGAAGGUUUUCGGAUCGUAAAGCUCUGUUGUUAAGGAAGCGGUACUUAACCAGAAAGGGACGGCUAACUACGUGCCAGCAGCUGCGGUAAUUC
rnacentral:rRNA from 1 species